rnacentral:SRP_RNA from 1 species
AAAUGGGCCAGUCCUGUACGGCCAGCUCCUGAGGAAUCCUCCAGGACGGGAACGUAGCAAAGGCACUUGGUUGUAGCGGCGCGAUGCAGACCGCUGGCCCACC